rnacentral:tRNA from 1 species
CGGUGGGUACGCCGUCGUCGGCGGCGCCGUCGGUGUCACCGGCGCCCCGGCGGCGGCGCCGACGACGGCGGCGGGUCAUCCCGUCCCCACCCUC